UGUGAACCUUACCGUCGUUGCCUCGGCGGGCUGUGCUUACCCGGUAGCUACCCUGUAGCUACCCGGUAGGUACGCUGCAAGCCCGCCGGUGGACCACUAAACUCUGUUUAAUUACUGUAUCUCUGAAUGCUUCAACUUAAUAAGUUAAAACUUUCAACAACGGAUCUCUUGGUUCUGGCAUCGAUGAAGAACGCAGCGAAAUGCGAUAAGUAAUGUGAAUUGCAGAAUUCAGUGAAUCAUCGAAUCUUUGAACGCACAUUGCGCCCGCUAGUAUUCUAGCGGGCAUGCCUGUCCGAGCGUCAUUUCAACCCUUAAGCCUAGCUGCUUAGUGUUGGGAAUCUGCCCUGUACCUACAGCGCAGUUCCUUAAAGUAAUCGGCGGAGUUAGGGCAUACUCUAAGCGUAGUAAUAUUUCUUCUCGCUUCUGUAGUUGUCCUGGCGGCUUGCCGUUAAACCCCUAUAUUUCUAGUGGUUGACCUCGGAUCAGGUAGGAGUACCCGCUGAACUUAAGCAUAUCAAUA
rnacentral:rRNA from 1 species